UACCAGCACCCCGAGUGGUCGGGACGAUUAUUGGGCCUAAAGCAUCCGUAGCCGGUUUUACAAGUCCUCCGUUAAAUCCAACUGCUUAACAGAUGGGCCGCGGAGGAUACUAUAAGACUAGGAGGCAGGAGAGGCAAGCGGUACUCAGUGGGUAGGGGUAAAAUCCGUUGAUCCAUUGAAGACCACCAGUGGCGAAGGCGGCUUGCCAGAAUGCGCUCGACGGUGAGGAUGAAAGCUGGGGAGCAACCGG
rnacentral:rRNA from 1 species